UACGUAGGCAGCAAGCGUUGUUCGGAGUUACUGGGCGUAAAGGGUGCGUAGGCGGCUCGAUAAGUAUGGUGUGAAAUCUCCCGGCUUAACUGGGAGGGUGCGCUAUAGACUGCCGGGCUAGAGUGUGGGAGAGGAAAGUGGAAUUCCUGGUGUAGCGGUGAAAUGCGUAGAUAUCAGGAGGAACACCGGUGGUGUAAACGGCUUUCUGGACCAUAACUGACGCUGAGGCACGAAAGCGUGGGUAGCAAACAGG
rnacentral:rRNA from 1 species